rnacentral:rRNA from 1 species
CCUACGGGUGGCAGCAGUGGGGAAUAUUGGACAAUGGGCGAAAGCCUGAUCCAGCCAUGCCGCGUGUGUGAAGAAGGCCUUCGGGUUGUAAAGCACUUUCAGUGGGGAAGAAAGCCUUGGGGCUAAUACCCUCGAGGAAGGACAUCACCCACAGAAGAAGCACCGGCUAACUCCGUGCCAGCAGCCGCGGUAAUACGGAGGGUGCGAGCGUUAAUCGGAAUUACUGGGCGUAAAGCGCGCGUAGGCGGUCUGAUAAGCCGGUUGUGAAAGCCCCGGGCUCAACCUGGGAACGGCAUCCGGAACUGUCAGGCUAGAGUGCAGGAGAGGAAGGUAGAAUUCCCGGUGUAGCGGUGAAAGGCGUAGAGAUCGGGAGGAAUACCAGUGGCGAAGGCGGCCUUCUGGACUGACACUGACGCUGAGGUGCGAAAGCGUGGGUAGCAAACAGGAUUAGAUACCCCUGUAGUC